GGGGUUUUCAAAUGGGAAAUCUCACCUGGAAUUAGCCAGAAGACAAGCGAUUGUUUACUUAUCAAAUGCUCUGAAAGUUAAAAGCGUCAUGGAGUUGGAGAAGAACUAAAUCUCUUCCGAUAAUUUUUGGAGAAUUUUAACU